GUAAAUGGGGUUUCCCCGCGAGAGUUC
rnacentral:siRNA from 1 species